UACGUAGGGGGCUAGCGUUAUCCGGAAUUACUGGGCGUAAAGGGUGCGUAGGUGGUUUCUUAAGUCAGAGGUGAAAGGCUACGGCUCAACCGUAGUAAGCCUUUGAAACUGGGAAACUUGAGUGCAGGAGAGGAGAGUGGAAUUCCUAGUGUAGCGGUGAAAUGCGCAGAUAUCGGGAGGAACACCCGUAGCGAAGGCGGCACUCUGGGCCGUGACUGACGCUGAGGAGCGAAAGCGUGGGGAGCAAACAGGAUUAGAACUACCGUAG
rnacentral:rRNA from 1 species